rnacentral:rRNA from 1 species
UACGUAGGGGGCGAGCGUUGUCCGGAGUUACUGGGCGUAAAGCGCUUGUAGGCGGUCCACCAAGUUUGGGGUGACAGUUGCCGACUUAAUCGGCAAAGUGCCUCAAAGACUGGCGGACUUGAGGGCCACAGAGGGACAUGGAACUCCAGGUGUAGUGGUGAAAUGCGUAGAUAUCUGGAAGAACACCAAAGGCGAAGGCAGUGUCCUGGGUGGACGUUGACGCUGAGAGGCGAAAGCCAGGGGAGCGAACGGG